UACGAAGGGUGCAAGCGUUACUCGGAAUUACUGGGCGUAAAGCGUGCGUAGGCGGUCUGUUAAGUCCGUUGUGAAAGCCCUGGGCUCAACCUGGGAAUUGCAGUGGAUACUGGCGGGCUAGAGUGCGGUAGAGGAUGGUGGAAUUCCCGGUGUAGCGGUGAAAUGCGUAGAGAUCGGGAGGAACACCCGUGGCGAAGGCGGCCAUCUGGACCAGCACUGACGCUGAGGCACGAAAGCGUGGGGAGCAAACAGGG
rnacentral:rRNA from 1 species